GGGCCAUAGCUCAGUGGUAGAGCACAUGUUUUGUAUGCAAAAUGUCCCAGGUUCAAUUCCUGGCAUCUCCA